rnacentral:SRP_RNA from 1 species
GCUGGGUGUGGUGGCUCACACCUGUAAUCCCAGCACUUUGGGAGGCCGAGGCAGGCGGAUUGCCUGAGGUCAGGAGUUCGAGACCACCCUGACUAACACGGUAAAACCCUGUCUCUU